CUUGCCACCUAGGGGCAUUGCAGGGGUAGCUGCUUUGUCACAUGUGUAUUAGUAGCUGCCAGAGAUGAAAGUGUCUAUAUCUCCCUUUAGUGUUCUAAUCUAUGAAUAUCUGAAUAAUUAAUAGCCUAUGUU